rnacentral:lncRNA from 1 species
UUUUUUUUUUUUUUAAUCCAAAAUGUGUUUAUUGGGAAGGUUCCCACUCAUCUUGAAUCAGGGGCUUUCAGUUCCUGCUUCCUCCUUCUGUCAGCCUUGCUUUCCCACCUGUAGGCUGACAGAGGACAGUGGAGCAGCCACCACACAAGACGACCGUCUGUGCAUGGCUAAAGACCGUGGUGAUUUUAUAGCAUCCUGGGCAUUGCACAUCUGCCGAAAGGCUCUUAAAGGUCUUACUAAAACCAGCCAGGCAGUGGUGGUCUAUGCUUUUAAUCCCAGCACUCAGGAAGUGAGUUCAAGGCCAGCCUGAUCUACAAAGUGAGUCCCAGGACAACCAGGGCCUCACAGAGAAACCCUGUCUCCAAGAACAAAAAACAAAACAAACAAAAUAACAGUCAAAGAAGCCAGGUGGAACAUGCUAGUCCACGGUUCUAACUCUAGCACUCAAGACAGAGAGAGGCAGAGCACUGAGUUCUAGGCCUGGUCUACAGUGCAAGUUCAGAGUCAGUACUACACAAAAAAACCUUGUCUCAAAAUCAAAAUAAAAAGAAACCCAGCCAAGGUUCUCUACUACUGUGCUCAAACCAGAGGGAGUUCAAGAGCCCCACCGUGCUUUUGCCAGUGUGACCCAGUCACGCAGCUCAACUCUGCACCGAGGCACUUUACAAGCAAAGCCCCUAGCUGCAGGGCUGCUGGGUCAGGGAGGAGAGAAGCUGAAGGCCAGCUUCUGGGCUCUGUCAGCCAGCCCCAGCCCAGUGGCCUGUGCUCCUCUACCAGACUCCUUUCAACUUCUAAGCAUGUUAAAAUCACAAACAGGCAUCGCAACCACUCAGACGCGUUUGAGCUCUAAUCCCG